UUGAAGAGUUUGAUCAUGGCUCAGAUUGAACGCUGGCGGCAGGCCUAACACAUGCAAGUCGAGCGGUAGCACAGAGAGCUUGCUCUCGGGUGACGAGCGGCGGACGGGUGAGUAAUGUCUGGGAAACUGCCUGAUGGAGGGGGAUAACUACUGGAAACGGUAGCUAAUACCGCAUAACGUCGCAAGACCAAAGUGGGGGACCUUCGGGCCUCAUGCCAUCAGAUGUGCCCAGAUGGGAUUAGCUAGUAGGUGGGGUAAUGGCUCACCUAGGCGACGAUCCCUAGCUGGUCUGAGAGGAUGACCAGCCACACUGGAACUGAGACACGGUCCAGACUCCUACGGGAGGCAGCAGUGGGGAAUAUUGGACAAUGGGGGCAACCCUGAUCCAGCGAUGCCGCGUGAGUGAUGAAGGCCUUAGGGUUGUAAAACUCUUUCAGAUGGGAAGAUAAUGACGGUACCAUCAGAAGAAGCUCCGGCUAACUCCGUGCCAGCAGCCGCGGUAAUACGGAGGGUGCAAGCGUUAAUCGGAAUUACUGGGCGUAAAGCGCACGCAGGCGGUCUGUCAAGUCGGAUGUGAAAUCCCCGGGCUCAACCUGGGAACUGCAUUCGAAACUGGCAGGCUAGAGUCUUGUAGAGGGGGGUAGAAUUCCAGGUGUAGCGGUGAAAUGCGUAGAGAUCUGGAGGAAUACCGGUGGCGAAGGCGGCCCCCUGGACAAAGACUGACGCUCAGGUGCGAAAGCGUGGGGAGCAAACAGGAUUAGAUACCCUGGUAGUCCACGCCGUAAACGAUGUCGACUUGGAGGUUGUGCCCUUGAGGCGUGGCUUCCGGAGCUAACGCGUUAAGUCGACCGCCUGGGGAGUACGGCCGCAAGGUUAAAACUCAAAUGAAUUGACGGGGGCCCGCACAAGCGGUGGAGCAUGUGGUUUAAUUCGAUGAUACGCGAGGAACCUUACCAGGGCUUAAAUGUGGUCUGACAGCUUUAGAGAUAGAGCCUCCUUCGGGCAGAUCACAAGGUGCUGCAUGGUUGUCGUCAGCUCGUGCCGUGAGGUGUCAGGUUAAGUCCUAUAACGAGCGCAACCCCUGCCGUUAGUUGCCAGCAUGUAAAGAUGGGGACUCUAACGGGACUGCCGGUGCAAACCGCGAGGAAGGUGGGGAUGACGUCAAAUCAUCACGGCCCUUACGUCCUGGGCCACACACGUGCUACAAUGGCCGGUACAGAGAGCAGCCACUGGGCAACCAGGAGCGAAUCUAUAAAACCGGUCACAGUUCGGAUCGGGGUCUGCAACUCGACCCCGUGAAGCUGGAAUCGCUAGUAAUCGGAUAUCAGCCAUGAUCCGGUGAAUACGUUCCCGGGCCUUGUACACACCGCCCGUCAAGCCAUGGAAGCCGGGAGUGCCUGAAGUCCGUCACCGCAAGGAGCGGCCUAGGGCAAGAUCGGUAACUAGGGCUAAGUCGUAACAAGGUAGCCGUACCGGAAGGUGCGGCUGGAACACCUCCUU
rnacentral:rRNA from 1 species